rnacentral:sRNA from 1 species
CCAUGGAAUCAAUCAAAUUAAGUCAUCAUGACUACAUUGAUUCCCCAUUGCUGAAGGACAGAAUUCAUUGUGUGGCAUUUGUAUUUGAUGCCAGCUCUAUUGAACGCUUCUCCUCUCAGAUGAUAGUAAAGAUCAAAAGAAUUCGAAGGGAGUUGAUAAACGCUGGUGUGGUACAUGUGGCUUUGCUCACUCAUGUGGAUAGCAUGGAUCUGAUUACAAAAGGUGACCUUAUAGAAAUAGAGAGAUGUGUGCCUGUGAGGUCCAAGGUAAUGAAUGAUGCCCUUCGUAAACACAUUUUCUGGGCUAGAGGAAGUCCAAAAAAAACUUGGAUUUGCUCUUUCUGACAUCUCGGUGGUUAGCAAUUAUUCCUCUGAGUGGGAGCUGGACCCUGUAAAGGAUGUUCUAAUUCUUUCUGCUCUGAGACGAAUGCUAUGGGCUGCAGAUGACUUCUUAGAGGAUUUGCCUCUUGAGCGAACAGGGAAUCUAAGGGAGGAAAUUAUCAAGUGUGCACAAGGAAAAAAAUAGAUAUGUGAAAGGUUCACGUAAAUUUCCUCACAUCACAGAAGAUUAAAAUUCAGAAAGGAGAAAACACAGACCAAAGAGAAGUAACU